rnacentral:lncRNA from 1 species
GGCAACUGAAUCUCGUUCUCUGAAGCUUCUUCUGGUGGUAGGAUGGCACUAGCUUCCUCUCUUCUGUUAGAAGAUAACGUCAGCUCUUGGCAUCUGCCAGUGAAGGCGCACAGCAUAGUGAUUCAGGAGUUUUCCAGAUUAUACUCCAUUAAAAGCUAUUGCAAGGUAAUGACUACCUUUCACUGGGCUGUACAAUGUAUCCUGGUUGUUUUCUGCAUUCAUUGUUGUUUGCAUCUCUUAACCCCAUACCCCUAAUUUGCCCCUCCC